rnacentral:tRNA from 1 species
AGGGGUGUAGCUCAAUUGGUAGAGUAGCGGUCUCCAAAACCGUUGGCUUAGGGUUCGAGUCCCUACUCCCCUGCCA